UACAGAGGUCUCGAGCGUUGUUCGGAUUCAUUGGGCGUAAAGGGCGCGUAGGCGGCGGGGUAAGUCUGGUGUGAAAUCUAGGAGCUCAACUCCUAAACUGCACUGGAUACUGCUCUGCUAGAGGACUGGAGAGGAGACUGGAAUUCACGGUGUAGCAGUGAAAUGCGUAGAUAUCUGGAGGAACACCGGUGGCGAAGGCGGCGUCCUGGACCAACACUGACACUGAUGAGCGAAAGCCAGGGGAGCAAACGGG
rnacentral:rRNA from 1 species